AGAGGGUCCGCCUGCCCCUCCUGGACCCUCUCUCUCCUCCACCCACAGCCUCCCUUCCCGUCACCCUCUCCCUGGACCCUCCAGCUCUACAGGAUGGCCUCUCCCUGCGUCUCUGAGUCCACCUCUCCCGCGGCUGCAGGUGGAAGUUGUCACCCGUCCUUUGAAAGACGUUCCUCGAGAGGCUACUGAUCAGAGCCAGGCCCUCUUCAGAGCUUGGGGGCCGCCCCUGCCCCCCGACAGUGUGUGCCAGGACCACUCAGCACGGAGCCGAGGGUGGCUUUCUCCUGUCCCUCAGCAGUGAGGUCACAGGGACCCGUGGAAGGCCCCACGUGGCACGGUGGGCAGCUCUCGGCGGGAAGUCCCUUCUGAAGCCCAGAGGAUUCCUUCCAGGCUGCGCGCGCAGCCCUGUUUCCCGUGGGACCUUCUCUGAAGACAGAGCCUUCGCAGGCCCCCGAGGCUCCCCGAGAGGCACCAGGUGACUUGGUCUGACUUCCUGACUUCCCUUGGUGGUCUGAUCUGUAAAACGGGCAGGACAGCCAACGCGGUCACCGUGAGCAGGAAAGGGGAGGACCGCAGCCUGCCGUCCUUCCACAGGCUCCGAACSGCUUUCCUGCUCCUCUGUCCCCUUCUCGCCUCGGCAGAACGGGGCUGUGCACUGGUUUCCCUGGAAAAUCCUUCUUAUUAAAUGGCAGGCCAGGGAAGACCUGUGACGUUCACCAGUGGCCCUCAGCGGCCCUUGUGGAGGAAGGUGUCCGGGCCUUGGCGGGAGGAGGACGAAGGCCAGGCCAGCCCCUCUCUGGGUGCUUGCUGAACCUACAGAUCUUGUUCCCUUUGAGCCUGGGGGCGCAGGCCSAUCUUUUGAGAGAGGCCACCGAGUACAGGAGUUUMAAGUUUGUCCCUGAAGGCAGAAGAUCUUUCUGAACCUGGCCAUCUUGUUGACCUUGGGAAAGUUCAUGCAUCUCUCUGGAGAUGGUGAAUGUGACUGCGAAGUUAGAUGUUUAUAGAUCACAGGUGGCCCUGGAUACACCCUGUGUGGCUUAAUGACGGGGUGUGUUCCAAGAACCGKGUCACCAGGGACUCACCAUCCUAUUUAGGAUCUGUCAUUUACCAACACUUUGUUAUAUGAAGUGUGGUCGCAGCAUACAUAAAGUCAUGGCUAUUUUUAUCUUUCCAAGAUGCAAAUACGAUAGGUCAUGUCCCCUGCCGUCUUCACGGAUCGCCCAGUCCUCCGAAUAAAGCAAAUCCCACGCAUGUCCUCA
rnacentral:lncRNA from 1 species